rnacentral:lncRNA from 1 species
GCUAUUCCUAUAACCCCAGCACUUAGGAGGCUAAGUACAAAGAAUCAUGAGUUUGGAGGCAGAGACAGGCAGAUUUCUGAAUUCGAGGCCAGCCUGGUCUACAAAGUGAGUUCCAGGACAGCCAAGACUAUACAGAGAAACCCUGUCUCGAAAAACCAAAAAAAAAAAAAAAAAAAAAAAAAAAAAGAACAUAAGAAUCAUGAGUUCGAAACUAGUCCAGACUGUAUAGCAAGGUCCUGGUUGAAAUAUUCCUACCCAACACAAAUUUGUAGCUAUUAUUAGAAAUCUCAGUAGCAGUUAGCUAUAACUCUACAUUAUUUUUGCAAUUUCUAUCUAAAUCUAAAGUCAUUUCUAAAUAUUUAUUAUAGUUUUUUGGGUUUGUAAGAUUUUGGUCUUUUGUUGUUGUCUUGAAAUAGGGUCUCUCUAGAACUUAGUAUGUAGACCAGGCUGGCCUUAACAUAGAUAGAGGCUUACAAGAUGACUCCAUGAGCUAACUUACUUGCUGCCAAGCCUGACGACCUGAGUUGUUUCCAGAGUCCACGUGGUGGAAGGAGAGAAGCAGAUGCUGCAGUCCAUUCUCUGAUACAGCCCAUGUGGCACGCAUGUUCAAUACUGUCCCAUGCCCUCAUAUACACAUAAGUAAACAAACAUAGUUUGAGUAAGGAUUUACGUAACUCAUUAAUGCACAGCAAAAUAAAACAAAUCCUGAUAUUGGAUCGUAAAAGAUUGAGGGUUUUUUUUUUCUUACAUGUCUAAUUUUUUUCCAAUCAUGUCAUACUUUGGUAUCUUAAUUCAUUAGUCAUGAUUACUUAGUUUUUAUAAUUUCUGUGAAAUAUAAAAGAUAGGUUUCUUAAUAAGAACUUUAACAAAGAAACAAUAAUUAUGAAGUUCUGAGGUUUGAGCUGGGGAGAUAGAUGGCCCAGCAGGCAGCAAUGACUAUUCCUCCAGAGGACUGGGUCCAGCUCUCCAGCACCUACAUCGUAGCUCGCUGUCAUCUAACUUCUGUGGUCAUUGCCCACACCUGCACACACAGAUAUAACUGCAGGCAAAACACCUAUACACAUAAAGUUUUAUUUUGUUUUUGGUUUGUUUGUUUGUUUGUUUGUCUUUUUUUUUUUUUUUAAGAUAGAAUUUCUCUAUGUAGCCCUGUAUGUUAUGGAACUUAUAGGCCAGGUGGCCUAGAACUCACAGAUAUCCACCUGAUAAUGCUAGGAUUAAAAACAAAGAAUCAAAACAUGCUGAGGUUUAAUCCCUAGACACCACCCUAGUUAAUUUGGAUCAAUCCCUAAUGUUUUAUAUUUCUAAAGUUCCAGAGAUAAUUCUGGCUGCAUCUUUAAUAUGCUUAUUUACAUUUUUUUUUGUUCCUUUUCUCAAAGGUUUAUUUUUUUGUUAAAAAUUACCUUCCUGGUACCUAAAACUUCACUUUCUAUUUUUUAAAGUACAUGUGAUAUAUUUGUAAUCCCAGCACUUGGUAGCUGACAACAGUUCAGUGGCUUUGUGAGCUACAUUGAGGCCCUGCCACAAAAAGCCAGAGAAGAAACGCUCGCAUGCCACCUGGAUAUAAGUAAUGAAAAUCUUUUCUCUUUUGUAGUUGAUCACAGCCGAGUUAAGUUGACUUUGAAGACUCCAUCCCAAGAUUCAGAUUAUAUCAAUGCAAAUUUUAUUAAGGUACGUAUGAAAAUGAAGGAAGGUUUCCUUGCUACACUUCAUGCCUUCCCAUAGAGCGAUUUUAUCAAAGGUAUUAACUACCCAACAUGGUCCUAAUAGGAAAUAAAAGAAAACCCUGUCUUGCACGUCCUAUUUGCUUUUCUUGUAGCUACCUAUGCCACAUAGAUCAAACCAUAUAUAGAUUAGAAGAGACAGUUUUCUGUGUGCUACUUUUACAUCAAAGGCUUAUAAGCACUGCUAGGUCAUUAUGUAAAUUGUCUUUCAGUUUAUGUGUACCUAUAUAUUAUUGAACCAUAUGAUAGUUUCCAAUUUUCCUUAGUAGUGAAAUUAUAAUGAACACUGUUCUUUUGAACAAUUUCUUAGGAUGAACUAACAGUGCUGAAAUUACUAGGUGAUACUGAUUUUAAUUUAUAAAAUAUAACUGAAAUUUUAAAACCUUUGGUAAUUGUUACUAUGUGUGUUGACAACUCUGGGCCACUGUGUACCUGUGAUCCCAACAUUUGGGAGGCUGAGGUCAGGAUUGCUGUAAAUUUAAGACCAUCAUGAGCUAAAGAAUGUGGCUGUCUUAAAAAUAAAAAAAAAGAUAUAAACAAAUGAAUAUGUAAAUAAAACAGCAUAUAUAUAAAUAGAUAUGUAAAUAAAAACAAAGUGGUAGGCAUCUUGUUAGAUAACUUGAGUUAUACUUGAACCAUCAGUGGUAGCUAGGUAGGUGGGUGGGUGGUUGAUUUGAGACACAAUUUCUUUAUGUAGUGCAGACUAGCUUGGAACUUGAAAUUCUCUUGCCUUGCAUUCCCUGGUAGUGAGGAUGUGCGCUUGCUCUACUCUGCCCAGCCUGUCAGCUCUCUAUACUGUUAUCAAGAAAGAGAUGCAGCCUCCUGUGAGACUUGUGUUUAAAGGCUCUAAUGUGUUCUAUAGGCUAUUUUGUGCUUUUGAGUCUAGUUAUACAACUAUUACAGCUUUUCAAUGACUUAUAUUAUCUUAUUGAUAAUAAACGAUAGUAAGAGUAGAAAAGUAAAUUUGACUUACUGAUAAAUUCCAAUGUGAUUUUCACCUCCAGUGUAAAGGUGAACUGUAAAUAAUCCUGCCCGUGUUUAAGGAAGGAAGCUUUGAGCUUUCCUAGCUAUCCUCUCCAGACUCCAAUGGAGGUCAUGAAGAAGAUUACCAGGGAUCUCAGAGCAACAAAAGUUUUUAAAUGUUUGGGGUGAGCAAGCAGAAAUGUGGCCCUCUGUCCUACCCAAUAAAGCUCUGUGAAAUUUGC